rnacentral:lncRNA from 1 species
UAUAAAUAACCCCUUUUUAGGCCACUAAAAUUUUCAAAUGUUGUAAGAUACUUUUAAAUCCUUAAAAAAAUUAUGUAAAUUAAAUAUAGUAAGGAUAAAAUGUGCAGAAAUUUUGCUGUGACCAUGAUCUUUACCUCAUUUUUAUGGUUUAUUGAUUGUGUAAAGUUUUUAUGCCCCCCCCCCUUUUAUAACUUUAUGAUAUGCAAGUUGGGUGCAUCAUCUUUGUCCCAUGGACACAUUCCCAUUUAUUUUGAUGUAGGACUAAUAUCUCAGACUAUUUGCAUAUAUCCAAUCUAUCAAUUUAGGGGAAAAAAAUACAUGUAUUACUAACGUUAUAUAUUAUGGGCUCUCCUUUACGGUAUUGUAUUUCAAAUCAAAAGUAGCUAAACAAUUCUUGUAAAGCAAAUGGUUCUAAACCAAUAGAGGUCAUUUAGUGAGCCUGAUUUCUUUGGAUCAUUCUUUUCUAUGUACAUACAUACCAGAGAGAGAGGGCCUUUUGAAACUCAAGUUUCAGGUCCAUGGGCAUGAUGGGAAGGACUUGAAUUGAACAAGUCCAUAUUUGAAAGUGUAAAUUUGUUGACAUUGACAGAAAUGACCAUAGCAAUUGAUAUCAGGG